rnacentral:lncRNA from 1 species
CACAAGUAUUUGGCAUAGAAAAGAGUUCCUUCAGGUUGCUCAUAGCCAUACUAAGGAGUCCAGCCUCUAUAGAUCAUCUACAUGAAGAACAGAUGCUGAUCAGGCUCCUCGAGAAUGCUAGCACGCAAGGAUCUUUGAAGGCUGAUCUACUUCUUCUUCCUUUGAUCUCUUGGAUGCUCCAAAAGAGAAGAAGAAUCUAUGGAGGAAGGGGAGAGAGGAGAGAGCUUUGGAGGAGAAACAAAAAUCAGCCAAGAACACCUAUAGGGCAUCCAACUAUUGGACCACCCUUUAAAUAGAUGGGCAUCAGGAUUUUCAGUCAAGAGGGGGCACCAAAGACUCCACGCUACAUCCAUAUGUGGUGUCCCAAUUUUUCCAAAAAUAGGUGAUGGCAUGAGAAAGAAAUUAGGUCCUUCUCAUGUCAACAAACUCUUCAAAGAAAAUAAGAAAAAAAUUAUUUGACACCACCAUUGUUUCCAAACAUAACAGAUCUCUUUCUUUCUUAUCUCCUUAUCUUUAAUUCAGAUCACAUUCAAAUUAGGAAGGAGAUAAGGAUCAUAACUCAUCAUGCUUGCUGCCCACCCUAUCUAUGCCUUCUCUUC